rnacentral:rRNA from 1 species
AUACGUAGGGUGCGAGCGUUAAUCGGAAUUACUGGGCGUAAAGCGUGCGCAGGCGGUUUUGUAAGACAGUGGUGAAAUCCCCGGGCUCAACCUGGGAAAUGGCAUUGUGACGGCAAGGCUGGAGUGCGGGCGAGGGGGGUGGAAUUCCGCCGGUCGCAGCGAAAUGCGUAGAUAUGCGGAGGAACACCGAUGGCGAAGGCAAUCCCCUGGGCCUGCACUGACGCUCAUGCACGAAAGCGUGGGGAGCAAACAGGAUUAGAUACCCUGGUAGUCCACGCCCUAAACGAUGUCAACUGGUUGUUGGGAAUUUAUUUUCUCAGUAACGAAGCUAACGCGUGAAGUUGACCGCCUGGGGAGUACGGCCGCAAGGUUAAAACUCAAAUGAAUUGACGGGG